GGACAGACCCUGUGCAACAGAGUGCUGUGAACCAUGUCAGGCGGGGAACCGAGCAGCAUUAAGCGGAUUUCUCUGUGUGCCGCAGUCAGCCUGUUCCCA
rnacentral:SRP_RNA from 1 species